AGCACUUCUGGAUAGUGCUGGCAGAUGUAAGUCCGACGUGCGGCAACGCACGGGCAGGGGUCAUUCCCCUGCCUCUGGGAUUAC
rnacentral:ncRNA from 1 species